AUGGAAGCAUCCAACCAAUCUGCUGUGACAGACUUUGUCUUGCUGGGACUCUCAGCCCAUCCAAAACUAGAGAAAAUGUUCUUUGUGCUCAUCCUGUCCAUGUACCUGGUAAUCCUGCUGGGCAACGGGGUCCUCAUCCUGGUGACCGUCCUUGACUCCCGCCUGCACACGCCCAUGUACUUCUUCCUGGGGAACCUCUCCUUCCUGGACAUCUGCUACACAACCUCCUCGGUCCCUCUAGUCCUGGAUGGCUUCCUCACUCCCAGGAAAACCAUCUCCUUCUCAGCCUGUGCCAUACAGAUGUUUCUCUCCUUUGCCAUGGGAGCCACAGAGUGUGUGCUCCUGGGCAUGAUGGCGUUUGAUCGCUAUGUGGCCAUCUGUAACCCCCUGAGGUACCCUGUGGUCAUGAGCAAGGCUGCCUACGUGCCCAUGGCUGUCAGCUCCUGGGCGGCUGGUGGAGCCAAUUCCUUGGUGCAGAUCUCUCUUGCAGUACAAUUACCCUUCUGUGGGGACAAGGUCAUCAACCACUUCAUCUGUGAGAUCCUGGCUGUCCUGAAGUUGGCCUGUGCUGACAUCUCCAUCAACGUGAUCAGUAUGGGGGUGGCCAAUGUGAUCUUCCUGGGGGUCCCAGUUCUGUUCAUCUCUGUCUCCUACAUCUUCAUCCUCUCCACCAUCUUGAAGAUCCCCUCAGCUGAGGGGAGGAGAAAGGCCUUCUCCACCUGCUCUGCCCACCUCACUGUGGUGGUCGUCUUCUAUGGGACUAUUCUGUUCAUGUAUGCGAAGCCGAAAUCUAAGGACCCGCUGGGGGCAGACAAGCAGGAUGUUUCAGACAAGCUCCUCCCUCUUCUAUGGACUUCUGACUCCCAUGCUCAACCCCAUCAUCUACAGCCUGAGGAACAAGGAUGUGAAGACCGCUGUGAGGUACCUGGUGGUUCGGAAGCACUUCACCCAGUGA